rnacentral:rRNA from 1 species
UACUCCUACGGGAGGCAGAGUGGGGAAUCUUGGACAAUGGGGGCAACCCUGAUCCAGCAAUGCCGCGUGGGUGAAGAAGGCCUUCGGGUUGUAAAGCCCUUUCGGCGGGGAAGAAAUCGGCCGGGCGAAUAGUCCGGUCGGAUG